rnacentral:rRNA from 1 species
UACGAAGGGGGCUAGCGUUACUCGGAUUGACUGGGCGUAAAGGGCGCGUAGGCGGUUCGUACAGUCAGACGUGAAAUUCCUGGGCUCAACCUGGGGGCUGCGUUUGAUACGUGCGGGCUUGAGUUCGGAAGAGGGUCGUGGAAUUCCCAGUGUAGAGGUGAAAUUCGUAGAUAUUGGGAAGAACACCGGUGGCGAAGGCGGCGACCUGGUCCGAUACUGACGCUGAGACGCGAAAGCGUGGGGAGCGAACAGG